UUUCCGUAGGUGAACCUGCGGAAGGAUCAUUCAUAAUAAGUGUUUUAUGGCACUUUUUUAAAUCCAUAUCCACCUUGUGUGCAAUGUCAGGGUUGAUUUUCUCUCGAGAGGAUCAGCCCCAAACAUCAACUAUAUCUCAACUCUUUGUCUGAAAAAUAUUAUGAAUAAAACAAUUCAAAAUACAACUUUCAACAACGGAUCUCUUGGCUCAC
rnacentral:misc_RNA from 1 species